rnacentral:pre_miRNA from 11 species
UCGAGUUAAUCCGUCAGCGAGGUAUAGAGUUCCUAUGCGUUCGGAUAAAAUAUUCCAUAGGAACUUCAUACCGUGCUCUUGGAUUGCUUGGAAGU